rnacentral:misc_RNA from 1 species
AAUAAAAUCAUAUAGAAAAGAAUAUUUCCCUCCAUCCAGAUCCUCUUGACAACAUAGAAAUCCCCUCACCCCCUAAGAAAUAUUCAAGAAAAAGAAUGAUUGUUUUGAAGUUUGUUCUCAUAGUUCAAUACUUAUGUCCCAAAGAUACAACUCUUGCUCUGGUACCCUUAAGUCAAUGGUGAUCAAACCAGCCUCAUCAUAUUGGAACUCUACCUCCUCUAAGUCGACGGUUACUCGCUUUGGUUUGGUCG